rnacentral:rRNA from 1 species
AGAGUUUGAAUGCUGGCUCAGGACGAACGCUGGCGGCGUGCCUAAUACAUGCAAGUCGAGCGAGCUGAAUUCAAAGAUCCCUUCGGGGUGAUUUGUUGGACGGUAGCGGCGGAUGGGUGAGUAACACGUGGGCAAUCUGCCCUAAAGACUGGGAUACCACUUGGAAACAGGUGCUAAUACCGGAUAACAACAUGAAUCGGAUGAUUCAAGUUUGAAAGGCGGCGCAAGCUGUCACUUUAGGAUGAGCCCGCGGCGCAUUAGCAAGUUGGUGGGGUAAAGGCCUACCAAGGCAAUGAUGCGUAGCCGAGUUGAGAGACUGAUCGGCCACAUUGGGACUGAGACACGGCCCAAACUCCUACGGGAGGCAGCAGUUGGGAAUCUUCCACAAUGGACGCAAGUCUGUUGGAGCAACGCCGCGUGAGUGAAGAAGGUCUUCGGAUCGAAAAGCUCUGUUGUUGGUGAAGAAGGAU